rnacentral:rRNA from 1 species
CAGUAGCCGCGGGAAUACGUAGGGUGCAAGCGUUAAUCGGAAUUACUGUGCGUAAAGCGUGCGCAGGCGGUUAUAUAAGACAGAUGUGAAAUCCCCGUGCUCAACCUGGGAACUGCAUUUGUGACUGUAUAGCUAGAGUACGGCAGAGGGGGAUGGAAUUCCGCGUGUAGCAGUGAAAUGCGUAGAUAUGCGGAGGAACACCGAUGGCGAAGGCAAUCCCCUGGGCCUGUACUGACGCUCAUGCACGAAAGCGUGGGGAGCAAACAGGAUUAGAUACCCCCGUAGUCCCUGUCUCUUAUAC